rnacentral:rRNA from 1 species
GUGAGGAAUAUUGCACAAUCCGCGCAAGCGGGAUGCAGCAACGCCGCGUGGACGAUGAAGGCCUUCGGGUUGUAAAGUCCUUUUAAGGGGGAAGAGGAAGGACGGUACCCCUUGAACAAGUCUCGGCUAACUACGUGCCAGCAGCCGCGGUAACACGUAGGAGGCAAGCGUUAUCCGGAUUUACUGGGCGUAAAGAGCGCGCAGGUGGUUGGGUAAGUCGGGUGUGAAAGCCCCGGACUUAAUCCGGGGAGGUCAUUCGAUACUAUCUGACUUGAGAACGGGAGAGGGAAGUGGAAUUCCGGGUGUAGUGGUAAUAUGCGUAGAUAUCCGGACGAACACCAGUGGCGAAGGCGGCUUCCUGGCCCGUUUCUGACACUAAGGCGCGAAAGCGUGGGGAGCGAACGGAAUUAGAUACCCUGGUAGUCC